rnacentral:piRNA from 1 species
UUCCUUCUCCAUCUCGUGUGUA